UAAGAAAGGGAAGUAAAAAUGUAACCCGGCUGUAAAGCUUGUGUUUCGAAGCUCAUUUGCUGAAGCAUGAUCACAAGUUGUCUUCAUUGUAGACGUGGUCCGAGAUGUAGGAGAUCAAGGCGCUGAAAAUGCAACAGCAAACCUCAGGCGAGACAUUUCCAGACAGCUCGUCAUGAUGAGUGACAAAUUCAGGAGCAGAAGCCUGACCAGGCGAGGGGGCGCUUGUUUCAAAUGUGAGACGUUUUGGAAAGACGGGGUGAUCUCCGCCUGAAACAGAAAUCCCAACAAAUGAUUCAGCAUGGGCAGGUUCUACUUGGUUACAUCACCUGUUUUUGUUGGAGAACAUGAAGAAAAAUGAUCCAGCUAUGAGCCAAUUACUGCACUCUACACGUUUUUCUCCAAGAUGUUUACUUGUUUGUCAGGAAGAAGAAACAGGAUCUAAUUUGUUUUGUGAAUAAGAAUAAAGGGAUUAGGAAAAAAACGGGAAGAGGAUUAUGAAACACCGGAAAUCCUGUGAACUAAAAGUCAAUAAAGCGUUUUCUUGUUGGUUGGUUCUUCAUCAGUUCAGCAGCUUUUCUGCAGCAUUAAUCUUGUUGAUCUGGAUCAAAGAUGAUGAUCGCUUGCUAAGGUUUCUGUUACC